GUGGAGGCAAGAUGGGUAGAAUGUAGGGUAGAGUGUAGGUUCAUCUGUAAUUAAUGAUCGGGUUGAAGAAGACAGCCCAAUGAUAUAAUCUGAUCUUUUAGAAAUAAAAGGGACUUUUAUCUAAAAUUGACUCUAUUUCAUUUUAUUUAUUUAUUUUGUUUUUAUUUUAUUGAUUAUGUUCAUAAUUUGCAUUGCACUGAUCGUCCUCCCGAUCUCUCUCUUGUCUAGUACCCCCUUCAACCAAUCCAAUCUCUAGUCACGAUCUUUUUAAAAUUAUUUGAUCUUUAGUCAUACCCUUGUCCAAUCGAUCUCUUAAUAAAACCAUUCCAACCGUCCUCACAUAUCCGAUGUCCUUAUUCUGGAAGCUUCUCCUAGUGUGCAUCGAGAAUCAAGAGACAAUUAAACUUUGCACUGACCGAUGCGCCGCCUAGGGUCUCGCGAGCAUUUAUAGCUCAAACGAGUAUAAAUAGUAAGCGAGUUCAGUCAUUCUCACACUUUUCUUUCUCCGUUUAUCUCAAACCUCUCAAAGACUUCUCUCAAGUUCUCAACUUUUUCGGUGCCGAUUUGCAAUCAGGUAGUAGCUUUGAUCUUUUUCUGGUUAUUUUCACCUCCGUUUCCUGAAAAAUGAGUAGUACCGACGAUUAGAGAGUUGCGAGCCCGCCUUCUGUUCAUGUUUCUUGGUCUUUCGAUGAAGGUGAUGAGGCCGGACCAAGUAGGCGACCCGAAACUAUUGGGGCUAUCGUUUCGGCCACUGAUUAGCCUACAGGGCCAAGCCAACAACAGGCUCCGAUCAUAAGGAGAAAGCCUCUAAUGGUAGAUGAACUCGCCUCAAUCUUGGGGAUGCCCGAUCUCGAGCUGAUAAGUCAGGAGUUUAACCUUCCACUUGACUCCUUCGAACUCAUUCAGUGUCAUGGG
rnacentral:misc_RNA from 1 species